rnacentral:snoRNA from 1 species
UGGUGUCUUUGAUGACCCACGGUUACCUACAUUGUUUGAUCCUCGUGAGAACAGCACUGGCUGAGACACCU